rnacentral:rRNA from 1 species
GCCUAUACAUGCAGUCGAGCGACAGAAAGGWGYUUGCUCCUUUGACGUUAGCGGCCGAUGGRUGAGUAACACGUGGGCAACCUACCCUAUAGUUUSSGAUAACUCSGGGAAACCGGGGCUAAUACCGAAUAAUCUCUUUUGCUUCAUGGURAAAGACUGAAAGACGGUUUYKGCUGUCGCUAUWGGAUGGGCCCGCGGCGCAUUAGCUAGUUGGKGAGGUAACGGCUCACCAAGGCGACGAUGCGUAGCCGACCUGAGAGGGUGAUCGGCCACACUGGGACUGAGACACGGCCCAGACUCCUACGGGAGGCAGCAGUAGGGAAUCUUCCACAAUGGGCGAAAGCCUGAUGGAGCAACGCCGCGUGAGUGAAGAAGGUUUUCGGAUCGUAAAACUCUGUUGUAAGGGAAGAACAAGUACAGUAGUAACUGGCUGUACCUUGACGGUACCUUAUUAGAAAGCCACGGCUAACUACGUGCCAGCAGCCGCGGUAAUACGUAGGGUGGCAAGCGUUGUCCGGAAUUAUUGGGCGUAAAGCGCGCGCAGGCGGUCCUUUAMGUCUGAUGUGAAAGCCCACGGCUCAACCGUGGAGGGUCAUUGGCAACUGGGGGACUUGAGUGCAGAGAGGAAGUGGUACUCCUAGUGUAGCGGUGAAAUGCGUAGAGAUUUGAGACC